CAGUGGGGAAUAUUGCACAAUGGGCGGAAGCCUGAUGCAGCGACGCCGCGUGGGGGAUGAAGGCCUUCGGGUUGUAAACUCCUUUCGACAGGGACGAAGCUUUUGUGACGGUACCUGUAUAAGAAGCACCGGCUAACUACGUGCCAG
rnacentral:rRNA from 1 species